CUUCACACUAUGGUAACCUAAAUUAAUUUAGGUAUGUGAAUGAUGUUAUGACAUUCCAUUGAAUUCAUUAAAAGAUAUUAUAAAUGGGAUCAACUUUUUAAUGAUUGCAUAUAUAUGUGAAAGAUUCUCUUUUCAAUUUUACCUCUAGUGAAAAAGAAAAGAAAACUUUAACUUAUACAUACAAUCAAAAACUCUCACAGUUCGCCGAUGUGUUGCUACAUUCCAUUCUAUCCAAAUCGAAUACAUUUGGCUGUAAGGCGCAUGCGUGUGGCUUAGCGAGGCAAUCAAUUACAUUAUCCGUGUUAGUACUAUUUCUAGUUAUAUCCUAUUUAUGAACUACGUGCGUUUGGCGAGAUAUUUCUUAACUGCAAGGUUUGAUAAGAAUAUAAAGGUAAGUCUUGUAUUUAAUCAUGGAAGUAUUGAAGAUGAAGGUUGAACCCUUUUCUGAUGAGAAGCAGGAUGCUUUUUUGGAUAUCAAACUGAUGAAAAAAGAAGAUGAAAAUUCCACAAUAACUAGUAUUCCAGGAAAAGCUGAUUCCUUGGAAGAAAGUUCUCUACAUACAAUU